rnacentral:rRNA from 1 species
UUAAGCAUAUCAAUAAGCGGAGGAAAAGAAACCAACAGGGAUUGCCCUAGUAACGGCGGAGUGAAGCGGCAACAGCUCAAAUUUGAAAUCUGGCUUCGGCCCGAGUUGUAAUUUGCAGAGGAAGCUUUAGGCGCGGCACUUUCUGAGUCCCCUGGAACGGGGCGCCAUAGAGGGUGAGAGCCCCGUAUAGUUAGAUGCCUAGCCUGUGUAAAGCUCCUUCGACGAGUCGAGUAGUUUGGGAAUGCUGCUCAAAAUGGGAGGUAAAUUUCUUCUAAAGCUAAAUACCGGCCAGAGACCGAUAGCGCACAAGUAGAGUGAUCGAAAGAUGAAAAGCACUUUGAAAAGAGGGUUAAAUAGCACGUGAAAUUGUUGAAAGGGAAGCGCUUGUGACCAGACUUGCGCCGGGCAGAUCAUCCGGUGUUCUCACCGGUGCACUCUGCCCGGCUCAGGCCAGCAUCGGUUCUCGCGGGGGGAUAAAGGCCCCGGGAACGUAGCUCCUCCGGGAGUGUUAUAGCCCGGGGCGUAAUGCCCUCGCGGGGACCGAGGUUCGCGCAUCUGCAAGGAUGCUGGCGUAAUGGUCAUCAGCGACCCGUCUUGAAACACGGACCAAGGAGUCAAGGUUUUGCGCGAGUGUUUGGGUGUAAAACCCGCACGCGUAAUGAAAGUGAACGUAGGUGAGAGCUUCGGCGCAUCAUCGACCGAUCCUGAUGUUUUCGGAUGGAUUUGAGUAGGAGCGUUAAGCCUUGGACCCGAAAGAUGGUGAACUAUGCUUGGAUAGGGUGAAGCCAGAGGAAACUCUGGUGGAGGCUCGCAGCGGUUCUGACGUGCAAAUCGAUCGUCAAAUCUGAGCAUGGGGGCGAAAGACUAAUCGAACCAUCUAGUAGCUGGUUACCGCCGAAGU